CUAGCUCAGACUGCAAGAUGGAGAAAUCCUUUGCCAAUUUCAUGUGCCAAAAGGACUUUCAUCCUGCCUCUGAAUGCACUAUCCAAAAGGUAUGGAUGGCAGAACAGAAAUUAUUAUAUGAUAAGAAGAAACUUGAAUUAAUGCAACAGUAUCCUAAAGUACAAGUGUUAUAUUAUAACAGAUUCUUAUGGAAGGUGAAUGUGUAAAGAAUAGCCUUAAUUUCAUGUGUGAAGUUCCACUAGGAGCUAACGGAAGAAAAUAAAGAGAAAGAAGAAACAGAAUAGAAAUUUGAAUAGCAGAAAGGAACUCCAUGUGAAAAAAUAAACCAAAGAUGACAUGAACACCAGAGAUCAGCCCUUUGGCAUUCAGUUUUGAAAUGUGAGAUGCGUUAAAUAUCACAAAUGGGGUCAUGUCAGCAUAAUUCAAGCACGUCCUUUGAAUUUUCUGGAGUCAGCGUAUGUUGGGUUCCCACUGAUGGCUCAGGACUCUCAAUGCGCCCUCAGGGAGCUAAUAGUGGAGAUGAGAAAUAGAGGGUUUUCACUGUAAAGGAAAUAUACUGGGGAGAAACUUGGGUGCAAAUGAUCCAUCACAG
rnacentral:lncRNA from 1 species